UAUGGUAAUGUGCCAGCAGCCGCGGUCAUACGUAGGGGGCAAGCGUUAUCCGGAUUUACUGGGUGUAAAGGGAGCGUAGACGGCAAGGCAAGUCUGAUGUGAAAACCCAGGGCUUAACCCUGGGACUGCAUUGGAAACUGUCUGGCUCGAGUGCCGGAGAGGUAAGCGGAAUUCCUAGUGUAGCGGUGAAAUGCGUAGAUAUUAGGAAGAACACCAGUGGCGAAGGCGGCUUACUGGACGGUAACUGACGUUGAGGCUCGAAAGCGUGGGGAGCAAACAGG
rnacentral:rRNA from 1 species